GAGCCAAAUUAACUCAAAUUCUCUUUGUAAUUUUCACCAUCCCAGGAAGAAGUCAAAACAAGGAGGUUAGGAGAUGUGACUUUUCAUGGAGGGUUUGUUCAAACUGCCGGAGGUACUCUGUGGGUCGAGCAGCAUCUAUGGAGGGAAAGCGAUGAUCAGCGUUUCGUAUCGUGACCCUGCAUUGACUUAAAUCAUCCUUUUUCAAAUACAAAUAAAUUAUUUGUUUCCAACUUAUUUCCACAGAUACAGAGGAAGGUAUUCACUAUGGAUUAAUCUCCUUCCAGCCUAAAGCAACUGGUGGCAACAGCGAUAAUACACUGUCCUCCAAUCAAGCAUCAGGCACUAACCUUGUUUCUUCAAAGGAAGAUGAGUCUGUCAUCUAUGCUGAAACAGCAA